GGGGGUAUAGCUCAGUGGUAGAGCAUAUGUUUAGCACAUGUGGGGUCCUGGGUCCAAUCCCCAGUACCUCCA
rnacentral:tRNA from 1 species